UGACACACCGUUACCUAGCUUUCUAAG
rnacentral:piRNA from 1 species